rnacentral:tRNA from 2 species
AUUUUUAUAGUUUAAAUAAAACAUUAAAUUGCAAAUUUAACGAUUUAAAUUUAAUUUAUUAAAAAUU